GCACCCCCCCUCGUCCUCCUCCCUCCCCACCCUCUCUCACCCCCCUGUGUCCCAAACUAUGGCACAAUAGCGCUCAGCUCCUCUGUCUAUUCUGUGUCCAGCAGGAGCCCGCGGUGAUUCAUUGCUCCAAUUAGGGGCUCUGCAGCCCGUGGCUCGGGCUGUCUGAAGGGUCUCCUUUGGGACCCACGAAACCCAUCAGCCGCUGCCGCUGAUCUUUAAGGAAAGGUCAAGCCGGACGCAUUAGAGCCAGGAAAGCAGAGCUAACAAAAGGAUACAUUUUUUUUAAGUUUGGGAAAAGCAGAACCUAGGCAAUGCUGACAGGCCCGGCUCUCCAGAGACCAAGGCAAGAGGAUCUCAAGUUCAAGGCCAGCCUGAGCUACACAGUAAGACCCUGUCUCAAAGGCAAAGAGUCGAGGGACCCCAGAAAACCCCCCAUAUGGAGCACAGCAGUGGUGGUGUCCCGGCAUGCUGGGCAAGUGCUGAACACAAGCCUGGGCCUUGCAGGGACCAGUUCCUGAAUUUCCACAGGGCCCGUGGCAUGUCAUUGCACCCUGGCUGUCAGAUGAGAAGACUGAGGUUCAGAAUAAGGAGAAACCAGCCCAUAGGAACAGCAGGUUGGGUGGGAAAACAUACCCCCAUCUCACACACACACCCCUUAGAUGUUUCGAGUGAUUUUCCCUAAGUGUUCGUCUUUCAUGUGUCCCCAACUAUGCAUCUAAGAAAACUAAAGCUCUCACAGGCUCUGGCCUGGACACAAAGCCAGUUGUGUGGUGCCAGAUACUCAGACACCAAAAUGCUUUAGUAUCCACUUCAUGUUCAUGUCAUUCCAGCCCCCAGCCUGGCCGUUCACAUGUGCGAAGCUCAAACUGGAUUGAGCCAUCCACACAUGCCUGUCAAGAAUCAUAGCAUCGUUCGAGGCCAGCCUGGUCUACAAAAAUCAUCAGGCCAUCUGGCAGGAUGGUACCUCCUAUAAUCCCAGCACCCUGGAGAUGGAUGGGAAGUUCAAGGCCAGC